GGACUACACGGGUUUCUAAUCCCGUUCGCUCCCCUGGCUUUCGCACACGAGCGUCAGACUCUUCCCAGGAUGCUGCCUUCGCCUUCGGUGUUCUUCCAGAUCUCUACGCAUUUCACCGCUCCACCUGGAAUUCCGCAUCCCUCUGAAGGUCUCAAGUCUUCCCGUUUUCUCAGCCCUGUGGCAGUUAAGCCGCCACCUGUCACUGGGAACGCGAAAGACCGCCUGCGUGCCCUUUACGCCCAAUAAAUCCGGACAACGCUUGCCCCCUACGUAUUACCGCGGCGGCUGGCAC
rnacentral:rRNA from 1 species